UACGUAGGUGGCAAGCGUUGUCCGGAUUUACUGGGCGUAAAGAGCGCGCAGGCGGUCGUUCAAGUCGCGUGUGAAAGCCCCCGGCUCAACUGGGGAGGGUCACGCGAUACUGAUCGACUGGAAGGCAGGAGAGGGUAGUGGAAUUCUUGGUGUAGCGGUGAAAUGCGUAGAUAUCAAGAGGAACACCUGAGGUGAAGACGGGUUGCUGGGCUGACACUGACGCUGAGGCGCGAAAGCCAGGGGAGCAAACGGG
rnacentral:rRNA from 1 species